GAGGGGCUCGGGAUCUGGCCGAUCGCCCGCCCUCCAGGCUGGGGUUCUCACUUUAGCUCCUGGGCGCUCCUACUGCUACGCGUUAGGCAAGCCAGGUGCGCCAGAUUCUGCCCCAGGUGGAAGGAGAAUGUAGCCGUUUGGAAUGAAGUUGCUUAUCUCGACCAGGAAUGCAAAUCACAGGGGUCCAAAAAUCCAAGCUAAGUGUUGCAUCUAAUGAACUAAUCAACCAGUAAGCACUUAUUAAGGGUGCCAGACAUUAUGUUAACUACAUAGAGCAGGAUUACCACAAUUCCAGCCCACCAGAAGCCAGAAGCAAUGCCAGCUUUGGAAAGGACCUUGAUGGGACCAAUGCUAGGUUGUUGGUUGUUGAAUUCAUGAGGAUGUUAAUCAUGGAGGACCUUGAAUUCUACCUUGGGAUCUUAGCCAUCUCAUAUGCUAUUGAAAAAAGAGUGUUCAUAAAUGUUUCACAAGCAACUCUCCUUAAAAAAAUGUAUGCAUAACAUAUUUUAAAAUUUACUCUGCAUUGUUAAUUUCCAGAACACUUUAAGUCUAGAGAGUCAGUAAAAUUAACCAAAUCCUGAUUUGUAGCAUUUGCCCAUUUCCAAGAUGUAUUUACACUUGUCUCUUGUGAGCUGGUAUAAGGAAGCAGGUAUACCCCAACUGUUAUAUAAAACCAUUUUAAACAUUGUAUUUACUAGAUCCAGUAACAAAGAAUUGCUAUCAACCUGUAUGAUUCCUUUGUAAAAUAAGGUCUGAUUGUUUCAUAAACAUUGUUACUAUAACUUCACACACACACACUUUUUUAUAAAUGAAGAUAAAACUUCCCGGCCCGGGAGAAGUUUAAAGGUAGGAAAAUAGAAACAGGAUAGAAGUUUUGAAUCCCGCGAAGGGUGUGAAAGAGCCGACCUUAGAGAUGUGAAUAAAUGAGUCAGUAAUCAAUUAUUAAUAUUCGGGAGCCACAGCCCUGCUCCAACCACUGGACGUUACUAUUUAGGCUAUUCCCAUCCAAUGAUCCCAAUUUAACACUGCACUGGUCAGAGGAUAAUACUAGCUCAGUAGGAAAGGAGAUUUAGAUACUAAAGGAGUUAGAUAAUGCUAGGUAUUAGCAUUGGAAAAGAGAGAGAGAGAGAGGGAGGCCUGACCGAAGGGCCAGGCCUCAGGGAAAAAGAUAGAGAGGAGAGAGAAAGGGGAGAAGUUGCUCCUUGGCAAACCUGUCGAUGUCCUCGAAGUGGGAGGAGCUGGCUGCGUCCCUUUCUUUUAUUCUCUUUGAUAUACAAAUGAGCUCAAUACAUAUUGAUAAGUUACAUGAUGCCUCAAUACAUAUAGAUGAGUUACAUAGUGUAUUGCCAUUGGAUAAUUGCAAAUUAUGACAAGGUGAAGGUGGGGUUAUUAUCCUCAGGUGAGUGAGACAAAGGGAAGCAAGGUUUUGCACCCUAACUUCAGCCACACUGAGAAUAGAGUUCAUUGCCAUGCUCAGAAUGGCCAUGUGCUCACUCACAAUCCUUGUCUCUCCAUAAUACCUAUGGGCUGGACUGCUACAGAAGAAAUUGAGGCCAAGAGAUUUAAAAACUUGUCCCCAGGUCACAUAGCUAGUAAAUGCCCAAGGUAGGAUUUGAACUUGAGUCUUCUUGACUCUGAAGCCCAUACACCAGCCACUAAGUUGUCUAGCUAUCUCAAAAAAAAAAAAUCAACCUUCACUAUUUCAUCAGAAAUAAACUAAUCAAAUUUGAACCAUGAUAACUCAAAGAGAAGGAAAAAAUUCCCCAAAGGGGGAAACUUUUUUGUGUCUUUGAAAAUAUCUCAGACUUAAAUUAUUCCUAAAGAAAAUAUUCUAUAAUCAGGAAACAAAGGGAAAUAAUAAAAUCAGAUAAAAUAAGAGAAAGUUCAGCUUUAAGGUUUCACCAACUAAUGCUAUAAAAAUGCUAUUAUUGCCAGGUGCACAUCACUCUUAUGGAAUAAUCUUCUGGAACUUCCUAGAGUUCCUGGAACUCAAACUAAGGGGCUCCUUAACUCUACAAAAAAGCCAUACUAAGAUAAAUUAAAUUCAAAUGAGGACUCUCUUUUCAAUGUAGUUAACAGUUCCAAAGGGGAAAUUAAUUAAACUUUCAAAGUAUGUCCUUGUACUUCAUGAUCCCAGUCACUUCUGAGGAGAGUCAGGAAUCCUGACAGACUUUGAGAAAUGAUUUGGGUUUCCAUAAUAAGGAGAUCAAGGACUCCACCACCACCACUCCCCAAAUAUAAUAAAAAGGGAAAAACACAGUCUUUGUAAGAAAUAAUCAUAGUUAAUGGAAGCAAAUCAAUCUAUUUGUCAUGUUCCGAAACCUAAAUCUUAUUCUAUAUCUCCUUUGUCAGGAGGGUUGGUCUUCUAGAAUGAUGGUUGGCCAUUGCAUUGGUCAGAGUUCUCAAGCCUUUCCAAAUUGUUGAGCUUUACAAUAUGGUAGUUAUAGUAUAAGUUGUUCUCCUUGUUCUGCUCACUUUACACUGCAUUAGUACAUUCAAGUCUUCCUAGGUUUCUCUGAAACUCUCCCUUUGAUUAUUUCUUAUGACACAAUAAAUAGUCUAUUAAUCAAUCAAUAACCAUUAUUAAGUGACUAUCAUGUUCCAGGCAAGCACCAGGGAAACAUAUACAAAGAUUAAAUAGUCGCUACUCAUAAAAAAGCUGUUAAUGGGUGAGACAAGUGCAUUAUGUAUAUAUUUGUGUGUGUGUGUAAUAUAUCUAAUAAAUUUAAUUUUUUCAUAAAGUAUUUUACAUAUUAAAACCUAACCAAAAAUUAAUUGUAUUGCUUAGAAUUUCUUUAUAAACAAUAACAGAUAAACUUGAACAAUUACUUUUCACAAGAAGCCAAUAAAAAUGUGUUUUAGACAGUCAUUCUAUAUAUUCUAGUACAGGUUAGAAGAGAAGAAAGACUGACUGUUUUUGGCAAAGAGAAAAAACAAAGGAAAGUAAUUAAACCUGUUAAAAUGUUUCAUAGUACUGAAUAUGAAUAACUGACAUUUAUGGAUCACUUCAUGGUUCACUAAGUGCUUUACACACUCAUUUUAUCCCCACAACAGUCCUGUAAGUGUUAUUGGUACUCUUACACACACACACACACAUACAUAUAUAUAUUUGUAUAUAUGUAUAUUUAUCUAUAAAGCAAUAUGAAAUUAUCAAAUAAACAAAAACAGG